rnacentral:pre_miRNA from 1 species
UGGUAAAAAUUUUAUCUAUUUUUACUAUUAAAAAUUGGUCUUUGUAUAUCAGCAUAAGAUAUACGUGGCACACCAUGUGUAAUUGUCUGGUUAUUUCGUCAACCACAUUAGCUCUUGAUAGUAGAAAUGAAUAAAAAUUUUAACA